CCGGAAAAAUGUUAGGCGAUUGGGGUCCGCGGGUCCCGGGACCACUUGGAAGGCGCACGAAAAUAUGGGAAUCGGGCGGAAUUCUAGUUUUUUGGCCGUAAAAUGCAAAUCAUGAGGAAAGGUCAUGGCGGGGCGGUGACUAUGGUUCCUUAGGUCGUAUUUGAUGGUCCGGAAAAAUCUUAGGCGAUCAGGGUAUGGGGAUUCCAGGACCACUUGAAGGCGUGAGCUAGCACACGAAAAUAUGGGAAUCGGGCGGAAUUCUAGUUUUUUGGCCGUAAAAUGCAAAAACUGAGGAACGAUCAUGGCGGGGUGGUGACUAUGGUUCCUUAGGUCUUAUUUGAUGGCCCGGAAAAAUUUUAGGCGAUCGG
rnacentral:lncRNA from 1 species